CUUUACUAAUACAACAAUGAAAAACAUAGGCCAAGCACACUAAAAAUAGAUACACGCAAUUAUGUCGGAAUGAAGUUGAAUCAUCACAAAGGACAUGGCUGGGAAUUUUUCACACCAAGUGUACUGCCACUGUCUUUGAACACAGACGAUUCAAGUAUGGUAGCUGAUGGUGAUGGAAAGAAAUCAACAACCACCUGUUCAGAGAUUUAGGGCCCCAGGAAACCUUCCCGCCUUAUCAUCUUCACUGUUGUGCCUUACGUGCAAGCAGAGACCGAGCAUCAUGUUACUACUACCCUGCAGCCAUCUGGCGGUGUGUGACCAGUGUGCACGGACCACCGAGUUAUGUCCGCGAUGUACCAGGCCCGUUAUGUGCAUCAUUCGAACGGUUAUACUUUGAUGGGUGUUGAAUUGCUCUUGUUAAAGGAACCAUGAAUGAAAAUACAUUGCUCUGAAAUAAAGAUAUCUAGAAUAA